rnacentral:misc_RNA from 1 species
UUUCCGUAGGUGAACCUGCGGAGGGAUCAUUACCGAGUAAGAAACAUUCUAGCCCGACCUCCAACCCUUUGUUUAAUUACUAUGUUGCUUUGGCCGGCCCGGGUCACGCCCGCCGGGAGUCCACACACUUCUCGCCCGUGCCCCCCAAUUUCCUUCUACAAAAUCUUAAACAACUGUAAUGUCUGAGUAAUAAAUUUAAUAGUUAAAACUAUCAACACCGAAUCGCUUGGUUCUGGCAUCGAUGCAGAACACAGCAGAUCGGAACGGCACACGUCUUAA